rnacentral:rRNA from 3 species
GGACUACCGGGGUAUCUAAUCCCGUUCACUCCCCUAGCUUUCGUGCCUCAGCGUCAGAAAAGGCCCAGUGUGCCGCUUUCGCUGCUGGCGUUCCUUCCGAUCUCUACACAUUUCACCGCUCCACCGGAAGUUCCACACACCCCUACCUCACUCAAGUCAUCCAGUAUCACGCGCAGUUUUCCGGUUGAGCCGGAAGAUUUCACACGUGACUUAGAUAACCGCCUACGCACCCUUUAAGCCCAGUGAUUCCGAAUAACGUUCGCACAGUUCGUAUUACCGCGGCUGCUGGCAC